GGAACGACUUCCAUCCAUUCUAUAUGAUUGGUAAGACAAGGAGCAGAUAAGAAUCCUGAGGAAGACUCUAUAUCCAGGAUUUGCGACACACCUGGUCCUGAUGAUUCAUGGUCUACAUCAGCUAGCCAAGACUUAGAUUU